GCGGACAUCGAGUAAUUACGAGAAUCCUCUGAGAGAUGUACCAUUAGAACGACUAAUAAAUGCUCAUAGAAAACUUGAACAAGAAAUAGAUCGAAGAAAGACUGUACUAGAAAACUAUUUGAAUAAUUUGAAACUGAAUUCACUGAAUGAAAUGUCCAAAGCACCGGAGAUAAAAACUUAUCAGAUUAGUCGUCACCCCAAUACUGGAAAGCAGG